GAUGAACGCUGGCGGCGUGCCUAAUACAUGCAAGUCGAGCGAACAGACGAGGAGCUUGCUCCUCUGACGUUAGCGGCGGACGGGUGAGUAACACGUGGAUAACCUACCUAUAAGACUGGGAUAACUUCGGGAAACCGGAGCUAAUACCGGAUAAUAUAUUGAACCGCAUGGUUCAAUAGUGAAAUACGGUUUUGCUGUCACUUAUAGAUGGAUCCGCGCCGCAUUAGCUAGUUGGUAAGGUAACGGCUUACCAAGGCAACGAUGCGUAGCCGACCUGAGAGGGUGAUCGGCCACACUGGAACUGAGACACGGUCCAGACUCCUACGGGAGGCAGCAGUAGGGAAUCUUCCGCAAUGGGCGAAAGCCUGAUGGAGCAACGCCGCGUGAGUGAUGAAGGUCUUCGGAUCGUAAAACUCUGUUAUUAGGGAAGAACAAAUGUGUAAGUAACUAUGCACGUCUUGACGGUACCUAAUCAGAAAGCCACGGCUAACUACGUG
rnacentral:rRNA from 1 species